rnacentral:rRNA from 1 species
UGGGCGUAAGCGCGCGCAGGUGGUUUCUUAAGUCUGAUGUGAAAGCCCACGGCUCAACCGUGGAGGGUCAUUGGAAACUGGGAGACUUGAGUGCCUAAGAGGAAAGUGGAAUUCCAUGUGUAGCGGUGAAAUGCGUAGAGAUAUGGAGGAACACCAGUGGCGAAGGCGACUUUCUGGUCUGUAACUGACACUGAGGCGCGAAAGCGUGGGGAGCAAACAGGAUUAGAUACCCUGGUAGUCCACGCCGUAGACGAUGAGUGCUAAGUGUUAGAGGGUUUCCGCC